UGCAAGAUACUGUCACUCAUGAUUUUGCAAGCACUUAUUAUUUCUCAUUCAGUCCCCCCACUCGUUGUAGAAUAGACUAUAUUAAAGGACUGCAUUGAGACGAGGUCCUUCUGUGCCCACUGGAAAGCUGCCUCGUCGCUAAGAAAGAACAUGCAGACAAUGAAAGCAACCCUGCUGGUAGUGAUGGUGAUGAUGGCAACGGCGGCAACAGCACAGCACAUUCCUCUAUACCCGUGCGAGGCAUGCGUGAUAGAGGACUUUUCUGAUACGAAGGCUAUGGCGAGAAUGGGCACCUGCAUUGGUUGUGGUCAUAUGUACGGCCCGAUCGUAGAACACUGCUGCCUGUGUAACGAUGAGUUCUUGCGUUUGUGCAAAGUUGCCAAUGAAAGAAGGAGGAGGAGGUAGAGAGGCUCUCAAUGUGUUCUAAAGACAAUAUGGCCUUUCUGGAGCAUCUCCAAGAAACUUGCUAUUGUGUUGCUGGAAGUGUUGUUAGGUUGUUGUUUUCUUCUGUCGAGACAAAUAAUGACUUUAGACCAAAUGCACCACACAAAGAUGUAUCAUGAGCAUUCGAAACAGUUAAUGUGAAUCAAUUUGUUUUGUACUAUCUCAAAUCAAUCGUGAAAUAAAUCGACUAUUCAUCUAA